GUGUUUGAUUGUUCUUAUUCAUUUAAUUUUCUCAGACAAAAGAUUAUAGUGAAAUCCCCAAAAAUGAAAUUUGUUUUGGGAUUGAUUGUUAUAGUGUUCUGUGCAUCAAUAUUUGCUUCACCCAUUAUUUCCAUAAAUGACUCCAACGUACCUUCGGCACAGUAUGCAGGAGACGCAUUAAAAGCCCUAGAAGAAGCCUACGAGAUGUACCCUUUAGACGUGGAUAAACGAAUCGAAAGUUUUGUUCAGCUUUUUGGGGUUAAACAUUCAAUUUCUGACGGAUGGAAUGUCGCAGUGGGAUGUUCACUUCUCUAUAGAUCCAUGAAAAAUUAUCAAUUCGUGUCAUUAAACGUAGACGAUGGAAAUUCUACUAUUGUAGUUGAAAUAUAUCAAUGAUAUUCUUCAGAAUUGAGUGCAUUCAAGUGAAUCUUUAUUAAACAUGAACUGUAUUGUUUUGUAUUUUGCGUUUAUUAUAAAAAAAUAUGAAAUGUG